rnacentral:other from 1 species
GAUACCCUGCAGUGUUCGCGAUAUUGCCCUUCCGUUUUGAGCCAAUACCUAAUACAAGGGUCCUUAACUUAACAGUAACAACGCGAUAGGCCUGAGCCAAGGCGGCGUUGCUUGGUAGGGACCCACCUGCGCAAGCAGGUUCAAAACUUAGCAGUACACGGCACAGGCGGGGUACGC